rnacentral:rRNA from 1 species
UGAACGCUAGCGACAGGCCUAACACAUGCAAGUCGAGGGGCAGCGCGGGAGAAGCUUGCUUUCCUGGCGGCGACCGGCGCACGGGUGCGUAACAGGUGUGCAAUCUGUCCAGUAGUCGGGGGAUAGCCCAGCGAAAGCUGAAUUAACACUCCAUGUGAAUCGAAGCCGCAUGACUUUGAUUUGAAACGCAAGGACUAUGGGUGAGCACGCUUCUGAUUAGGUAGUUGGUGGGUAACGGCCCACCAAGCCGACGAUCAGUAGGGUUCUGAGAGGAAGGUCCCCCACAUUGGAACUGAGACACGGUCCAAACUCCUACGGGAGGCAGCAGUGAGGAAUAUUGGUCAAUGGGCGAGAGCCUGAACCAGCCAAGUCGCGUGAAAGGAUGAAGGUUCUAUGGAUUGUAAACUUCUUUUGUCCGAGGGUAAAAAAGGCCACGUGUGGCUUCUUGCAAGUAUCGGACGAAUAAGCAUCGGCUAACUCCGUGCCAGCAGCCGC